ACGGUUAGCUUGUAUUUUAGGGU
rnacentral:snRNA from 1 species